AGCUCCAAUAGCGUAUAUUAAAGUUGCUGCAGUUAAAAAGCUCGUAGUUGGAUUUGUGGCGCGGCCGUCCGGCGGGGGUCCUUCUAUGGUCUCGUUUGUCCUGGUUUUCGGCCGCUCCUUUCUCGGGUAGAGCGUAAUGGCUGGCAUUAGGUUGUCGGCCGCUUCGCGCCCGUCGUUUACUGUGAAAAAAUUAGAGUGUUCAAAGCAGGCUUAUGCCGUGAAUACAUUAGCAUGGAAUAAUAAGAUAGGACUUUGGUUCUAUUUUGUUGGUUGGAGGCCAAGGUAAUGAUUAAUAGGGACAGUUGGGGGUAUUCAUAUUUAAUUGUCAGAGGUGAAAUUCUUGGAUUUAUGAAAGAUGAACUUAUGCGAAAGCAUUUACCAAGGAUGUUUUCAUUAAUCA
rnacentral:rRNA from 1 species